CAGUCGCCGCGGGAACACGUAGGUGGCAAGCGUUGUCCGGAAUUAUUGGGCGUAAAGGGCUCGCAGGCGGUUUCUUAAGUCUGAUGUGAAAGCCCCCGGCUCAACCGGGGAGGGUCAUUGGAAACUGGGAAACUUGAGUGCAGAAGAGGAGAGUGGAAUUCCACGUGUAGCGGUGAAAUGCGUAGAGAUGUGGAGGAACACCAGUGGCGAAGGCGACUCUCUGGUCUGUAACUGACGCUGAGGAGCGAAAGCGUGGGGAGCGAACAGGAUUAGAUACCCGCGUAGUCCCUGUCUCUUAUAC
rnacentral:rRNA from 1 species